rnacentral:rRNA from 1 species
CAGCAGCCACGGGAAUACGUAGGGUGCGAGCGUUAAUCGGAAUUACUGGGCGUAAAGCGUGCGUAGGCGGUGAGUUAAGUCUGCUGUGAAAUCCCCGGGCUCAACCUGGGAAUGGCAGUGGAUACUGGCUCGCUAGAGUGUGUCAGAGGAUGGUGGAAUUCCCGGUGUAGCGGUGAAAUGCGUAGAGAUCGGGAGGAACAUCAGUGGCGAAGGCGGCCAUCUGGGACAACACUGACGCUGAGGCACGAAAGCGUGGGGAGCAAACAGGAUUAGAUACCCCAGUAGUCCCUGUCUCUUAUAC